AUUUCGCUACGCGUUUCAUUCUUCACCAAACACUCCAACUCUAUAGCUCUCAGUUUAUAUACAAUCUGCAAAUAACCACUACCGAAAGAGAAAGAAAAAGAAAAAGGUUGAUAAGGUUCCACCAUAGAAAGAAAGAUGGAGAUAGUUACACCUAAAGCCUCAGACUCAAAGAAGAUAGCAACAAAAGCUGAGGAUGAGAAGAAGACAAAGAAAGAUGAUGUGAUGACCAGUAAUGGUCGAAAGUUCACUAUUAUUAAAGGGCAUCUCAAAAUCAUUGAGGGUUUAAGACAAGGUAAGAUUAAAGACGAUCAACCUCCUAAGAGCCCGAGAUCUUCAUCAUCAUCAUCAUAUGUGAUGGAGAUCAAGAUGGGAAAUUACAAAAACUCGAUUCAAAGAUCAGAAAAUACUAAAAGGAUGGAAACUCAACACAAGGGUAAGAAGGUGAUGAACGUGAAACAAAACACAGAAGAGAGCAACGUUCAAAAGAUGAAGAAAGUAUGGGAUUGCGAAAGCACACUUUAUGACUCAUUCGAGCUCAACUCCUUCAAUCGUCAACUCGACAACGCAAUAUCUUCUUCCGCUAGAUCCAUGUCAAUGCCUCACCUUCCUCCUCCACCGUCAGAAACCACGUCUUCGCCUUCGACAAAGAAGCAGCCAUCAAACAAGAUCUCACGCUCUUUAAAGAAACUCGUAAAGUCAAUCUUCAGACAGAAACAGUCAAACACUCCCUUUAAGGCAUGUCACGGCGUAGAUAUGGACAAAUACUACGUCGUUUUUGACAACACAGGAUCCCUCACGACGAUUCCCGAGUCAAGAGAGUCAUUAGAACUGGGUCGCUCAGAGAUCAACUCGCUUGAUAGAAAAACCGUGUCAGAGCGAUUCCCACCGAGUCGACUCGCUGAUAUAAACAAGAAGACUGCCGUAAGAGUUCUUCUCCUCCAUGCUAACGGCUAAUAAAACCAUUUGAUGCGUUAUUACUUCGACAGCGAAAAUAAGGAUAUUGUGGUUGCUCUCUGUUUCUUCUAUCAAACGCCAUCAUUAGUGAAAUUUCGCUAUAGCCACGGAUUAGUCAUGGAUAAAUCGCAGCUAAAAUUACCUUUUUUGCCACGAAACAAACACGAGUGGUUACAUUUAUGUGUGUUUUGUGUUAGCAUAGGAAUAUGGAAAGUUGGUUUAGCUCCUGACCUUGAAGGAAGGCUUCAUGUAAAGAAGGCCCCCUCGCUUUCUGGUCAUCAAGGCGAGGUAUCCAAUUCCAAUUUUUUUUUUUACUUUUCAUCUCUCUUUUCGGUGUUUGUUGGAUUUGAUGAGUAUGAAACUUUAAGGUCUAACUUUUUAUCUUCAACCCUACCUUUUUAUUUAUUUCAUUUGUGUAAAACUCAACUUAAUUACACGGUAUUGAUGUCUCCUGGUCAGUUUGGCAGAUGGAAUGGAACAUGAGUGGGCUGACUUUAUCCUAGCACCGGAAGCGAUGGGGUGGCCACAUACUCAUUUUGAGUUUAGUUCUAUGAUUCAUACUCCCUCUAAACAGUGAUGUUUUGGCUCGAUGCCUAAGAUCCACACUUUUACAAAAACAGAAUCAUUAAAAAUAUAAAUAAAAUAUAAUUCAACCAAUUAUCAAAAGAACUAUGAAAACAUCAUUAGUUAUACAAUCUUUAAUAAAAUAAAAACUAAUAUAAAAAUAUCAAAACAUCAUGUAUUUUGAAACAUCAAAAAAUCUUCAAAAUAUCAUCUAUUUUGGAACGGAAUGAAUAUCUUUCAAAAAUAUCUCUGUAAUCUAUAGACUGUCACUGUACACUGUAGCUAAUCACACCUUACAAUAGUUUGAUUUUAUUUUGGUUUGAGGCAUUUAGGCUAAGAUAGACGAUUGAACCAACUCUAACCUGGAUUAGUCAUGGUGAAUUUGGUCAGAACACCUAGUAC